GAUCUGAGGAUUUCUAUUCACCUCGUGCUGCUCCAGAUAUAAAUGUGCAUGGUUAGGGGAACAAUCCAUCAGACCUCAAGCAACAAACCAAAAGAGGACAGCAUUUCUCAGGAAAGCAGUGACAUGUGGAGGCCAGAGAAGCAAACUCGUAAGCAGGGAGGAAAAAGGACUCUUCACAGAUCCUGAUCUUAGCAGGGGUGUUUUCCAAAGAUGAAACUGCCUUCAAAAACAAUGUCACUGAACUGGCAGGAUCAGCCAACUACACCAGCCACAGAAAAAGAAACUACAGAGGAAUGAGAUACAGUGGAGUUCUUCACUUACUAGAGAGGAGAGUGGAAGCAGAGGUCCAGGUGUCCAACAAAAAACACCAAUAGAGAAGUUGUAGGCUUCAGAGCAAGAAGGCUGUGUCACUGAUUAAAGCAUCAGAGCUGCCAAAGGAGACUGUGAACAGCUCUCAGCAAAAGAAAUCAGAAGCAGAGCAGCAGGUGACAAUGAAACAGCUGGGGGUGCCCAAGGCCUUGGUUAAAGGAAAUGAUCCAGCACUGUUCAUGAACUCCAAAAGAGCCAGAGAGGCAUGAGAUGAAGAUGCAGAGAUCGUUGAGGAUAAACUCUAAAGAACAGAAGAUGGUCAGGCAUCAAGGCAGGAGGAAUUAGGCUGAGCAGCUGAAGAAGGAGUGGAUGGCGACCAAGAGAAAACAGAAAGGAGGGCAGGUCAAAGGAAAUCUUGUUGGCAGAUGAAGAGCAGGACACAAUCAAAACCAGCACUGAGCUGCUUUGCCAGAGUACUGCAAACCAAAAGGGUUGUUUCAAGACAGGACUCUUGACAGGCAGUGUUGUAAUUCCAGUUAGUCAACCGCCCCAGCUGCUGGUAAGUGGCUGCCAGGCACAACGUCAGAGUGUGCAGCAAUGAGCUGAGUUCAUGUCACUAAAAUCAAAUAAAAUCUGAUUUUAUUACA